AUACAAAUCUGUCUUUUACUUGCUUGUUUAAUUGACAUUUGCCUGCAUUCCUGCAUUUGUUAGAUCCAUUUUAACAAACCGAGUAGAAAUAAAGGACUUCAGAAUAUCUGGGGUGCUGCAGCUGAAACCAGCUUCUGAACUGAAGCAAAUCUGUGUCUUUUUAGCGAAAUGAAUAGACCCCUUCAGCCCGAACCAGCUGGGAACCAACCCCUUUUGGGCUGUUUUCUGGAAAUACUUUAAUAGAAUUCAUUCCCACAGUAAAUACAAACGUCAUUGUCCUGAGCUGCUGCUUUUGGGACAAGACUUACAUACGCUGUCUUUGAAUUUAAAACUCUCUGGUCAUUUUACUGUCCGCAUUUCUGACUGACACAAUAUGUUGGUUUCACACACACACACACAGAGCAAAUUGCUAUCUAUAUUUUGCCAGUUUUCUCCCCUUAUACUAUCUAUAUUUUGCCAGUUUUCUCCCCUUAUUUUUUUCCGGGGGCGGGGUGGGGAGGAGGUAGGGUGGUAUAAUUUCCCCCUCCUUUCCUUGGCUGUCAAAUUAGGUCCCGGCAGUCCGAGGAGAGCUGGUGCUGUCCCCAGGCGGUGCUCAGCCCCGGGGGAUGCUGCGGGGGGGGGAUGGCAUUCCUCGCGUUUCCCGAGGGAGCCAGGCAGCCCGGGGCAGCCCGUGCCCGUCCCGGGGGAUGCCCGAGGCACCACAGGUCUCUCCAGCACCGCACUCCCUGCCCAGCGCUGCUCCGGUGCCCCCUCCCGCCUUUCCCUGCCCGGCGAGGCGAAGGAAGGGGUGAAGUUCUCCGUGUCCCUCUGCCACGGGGGCAGCCGCUCCGUGAGGAAGCCCCGGGUGGCCCCCGCACAGCCCACAGAGGUAAAAAGCCCCAAGUCAGGAAGGAUUGGCAGAGUUAUUUGGAGAAGACAGCAGAAGUUGGAGAGGCAAGGCUCAAGGACUGAAUACCGCUCCCCUGGGCAGCCUGUUCCAGUGUUUGACAACCCUUUUGGUGAAGACAUUUUUCCUAAAGCCAGCCUAAGCUUCCCCUGGCCCCUCCUUGAGGCCAUUUCCUCUUCUCCUAUCAUAAACUGAUCAAACACCAUCUCAAAACUCAUUCGGGAACAGUUUGUCUUAACAGGAUCUAGGGUGAAGAUUUUUCAAAGAUCUUCCUGGUUCUGUCCAUAUGUUUACCUCUUGAAAACUGGGUCAGGAGUGAAACCCCUGAAUCUUUUUAAAAUAUGUCAAAUUGUGCACCCAAACAUUGAAGGAUUCACCACUGAUAAACACUUCUGAAAAUGUGAAGCCCACAGAGGUAAAAAGCCCCAAAUCAGGGUUCUGUCCAUACGUUUACCUCUUGAAAACUGGGUCAGGAGUGAAACCCCUGAAUCUUUUUAAAAUAUGUCAAAUUGUGCACCCAAACAUUGAAGGAUUCACCACUGAUAAACACUUCUGAAAAUGUGAAGCCCACAGAGGUAAAAAGCCCCAAGUCAGGAAGGAUUGGCAGAGUUAUUUGGAGAAGACAGCAGAAGUUGGAGAGGGAAGGCUCAAGGACUGAACAAAAAGCCCACCUCUAGAGCUCUACUGAUGCAUUCAACUCAGCUGAGAGUUUUACAGGUGAGAGGUUGUCCUCAUCUCUAACUUCAUCUGCAGAUACAAACUAGGAGAAUUUUGCAAUAUAGGGAAUGCAGAAUUGUCAUCAUGCAGGAAUGCCAAGGGGGCAGAAGUGCUGACUAAAAGGGGUUUGAGUGCUCAGGAAUCUACCAAUCUACUCACAUAUAUUGGUUCUGAGGGAAAAGUAGAGAGUUCCUCAAACAGAAAGACAUCUAGGGGAUGCCCAGAGGGGAACUGGACUGAGCUUGAAUGGUGGGAAGAAACGAAAAUAAGACCGGAAAAAUGAAUUGAAGAAAUGGGGGAGUACUAUUUGGGGAAAAGAGAAAAGAGCAAGAUAGACUUUUUUUAUUCUGUGUAAAGCAAUAAAUACCUAUAAGCAAUCUCUUUUCA
rnacentral:lncRNA from 1 species